rnacentral:rRNA from 1 species
AGAGUAUGAUCUGGCUCAGAACGUACGCUGGCGGCACGCCUUAUACAUGCAAGUCGAACGAAGUAGCAAUACUUAGUGGCAGACGGGUGAGUAACAUGUGGGUAUCUUCCCUUUGGUGAGGAAUAACACGAGGAAACUUGUGCUAAUACCUCAUAAGUCUUUACGGAGAAAGCUUUAUGCGCCAAUGGAUGAGCCCGCACUUGAUUAGUUUGUUGGUGGGGUAAUGGCCUACCAAGACUUUGAUCAAUAGCUGAUCUGAGAGGAUGAUCAGCCACAUUGGGACUGAGACACGGCCCAAACUCCUACGGGAGGCAGCAGUAGGGAAUAUUGCACAAUGGAGGAAACUCUGAUGCAGCGAUGCCGCGUGAGUGAAGAAGGCCUUUGGGUUGUAAAGCUCUUUCGUCGGGGAAGAAAAUGACGGUACCCGAAUAAGAAGGUCCGGCUAACUUCGUGCCAGCAGCCGCGGUAAUACGAAGGGACCUAGCGUAGUUCGGAAUUACUGGGCUUAAAGAGUUCGUAGGUGGUUAAAAAAGUUGGUUGUGAAAUCCCGAAGCUUAACUUCGGAACUGCAAUCAAAACUUUUUAGCUAGAGUAUGAUAG